GAAUCUGGAGGGCUGAGGGAUUUUUUUUUUCAUUCGGUACACGUGAGUUACGAUUGUGAAUCGGCUGCAAAAGUGCGUCCCAUGGCUCCGCGUCAGGUCUCGACGAAGAGUCCCAUUGGUCACUGACAGCACAGCGGGUUGACGUCAUCGGCGGGCGAGGGGAACGCGCGCAGGGCCUCCCUGGACAAUUUGGUGUAGCCGUUGUGGAAGAUGAGGGCUUUCUUCACCGCGAAGAAGGACACCGUCUUGUCCCACGCAUCCGAGCCUGAGCCGGACACGCCCGCGCUGAGUUGCCUCUGCAGGGCCGAGUGCAUCCUCGCUGCUUUGUCUGUGCACUUCCUCUCCAUCAGCAUCACCUUGCACAGACUGAGGAUGCGGAUGGGGGUGGACAAAUUGGAUAAGUAAAUUUCGUGGAAUAACCCGGGGCCUUCCAUGUCAAUGCUCCAUAUCACAUCCAAAUUCUAUUUGAACCAGGAAAUUCAAUUGGUUGAUUAUGUAUCAAACACCUAAAUUUGUCCUUCAGCUCCUUGUUGGAACAAGUUGGACAAAAACUACAGAAGCACUGAAAAUUUGGAGUUUAAAAGUUCAGCCGAGGUCAAAUUACGUUCACUG